GCAAUAGUUUCCUAUGCAAUCGUUAUAGAAGAAUAAAGGAAAUAAUCUUGGGAUAGUGAUUCAAUAAAUAAUAGGUCCCCUGUCUAGAGCGCACGCGUCCUUGAGCCACGCAGGUGCAUGAUGACGUCAUACCGUGGCUUCACUGCAGAUUGACCAAAGGAGCAUUAGUGGAAAAAAACAGUGUAGCCCUGAGACAAUAGGAUGAUGUCUGGACCAAUGAGAACUGCCAGCAGGGGGCGCAGGAAUGCUCUUCUCACUUAGCCUCACGACCAAUGAGAACGGCCAGCAGGGGGCGCAGGAAUGCUCUUCUCUCUUAGCCUCUCGCAGGUGGCGGUAGGAGGGCGCAGAGGGCGCUACGAGCGCGCGCAUGCGUAGCACCCGUAGAGUGGCGCUUACGUCAGUCCACCUCUGGCUCUCGUUGGGAGAAGACGUGCGGUCGUUCGCUCCGUCGUCACUUGAUCCCUGGCUGUCGACGAGAGCAGUCGCAUCGGUCUGCGCUCCUGCUGUGAGCUGUCCUAACUUGCCCAGACAUGCCAUGAUGACGUCACAGCUGACGUCACAGGAUGUGCGGAACUGGUGCUGCGAUGCUUUGCAACCUGCCUCUGUGCUCCGUCGCCCAGCGACGGUCAGCGGCCGUUCCGGGCCGCUUUCUUCAUUGAUCUUCCAGUAAACUCCUUCUCUCCACUC